rnacentral:rRNA from 1 species
UACAGAGGUCCCAAGCGUUGUUCGGAUUCACUGGGCGUAAAGGGUGCGCAGGUGGUCGGGUAAGUCUGACGUGAAAUCCCGCAGCUUAACUGCGGAAUGGCAUUAGAUACUAUUCGGCUAGAGGGUUGGAGGGGGGACUGGAAUUCUCGGUGUAGCAGUGAAAUGCGUAGAUAUCGAGAGGAACACCAGUGGCGAAGGCGAGUCCCUGGACAACUCCUGACGCUGAGGCACGAAAGCUAGGGGAGCAAACAGG